AACGCAAAUUGCACUCGAGGCUCCGGCCAAGAGUAUGCCUGCCUCAGCGUCGGUCGACACCCUCGCCGCCCCGCACUGCGGGGGGCGGAUCUGGCUGUCUCGGUUCCGAACCGGGUCCGCUGAAGAACAGAGGCCUGAGCGUGGACCCGACUCGCAUGGGCAACAGUCUGGUAGGCGAGCCGUCGCGAGACGCUCGCAUGCCGCUGUUGGCCGAGGGGCCUCGCUGGAAGCCGGCAGGAGCCUGUCUUCUCGAUUCGUGAGGAGACAGACCACACCACCUUCGACCUGAGUUCAGGCAAGAGCACCCGCUGAACUUAA
rnacentral:misc_RNA from 1 species